CCCGCGCCAGCGAUAGAAGCGGAAAUCCUUUCCUUAUAAAACACAUAUUGGCAUAUAUCUCAUUGGAAAGAUUGGAGCGGAUAGCGCGGUCGUGU
rnacentral:sRNA from 1 species